UGUUAUGUAAAGUUGUGUUUGAUGUUUUUAUUACACAGGAUACACAUUGUGAUAUAUAUAUUCGUACAUCGCCAUCAAUUUCAUACCGCUGUCGUAAAGUUAACUACUAGCAGAAUUUGGGAUCUACUGUCAUCGUAACCAAAACAAUGCCGUCUAUUAGGAUAUUGGUUAUUCUCACGGUCGUGUGCAUCCUCGCAGGGACUUUAGCGCAGCAGGCAGAAGCUCAGUGUGGAUGUGGAUAUUUUCGCUGUAACAAGUCGGAGUGCUAUGCUGGAAAAUGUGGGCUGUUCAACUUUAAACAUUAUUGCUGCGACAAAACGAGCAUUAUGUGUGAUUAUGUGUAAUCUAGAGUAAGACGUUGUAUGUCCGCUUGUGUUUUAAACUAAUGAUGUGACAAACUAAUCAUCUGUUUUUUCUACUUAUUGAUAUAAAUGAAGAAUAUCCAUUUAUUAGCUCGCCUUGUCAUUAAAUAUAUACGACUUUUUGUACAAACGUAUUUUAUAAGCCAUCUCGUUUCCAAUAUUCUUCGGUUAAAUUCGGUUAAAUUACAAAGUUUGUUAUUCAAUUAACUUCGAAAAUUGAAAUCUCUUUUCACUAUAACGCAUAUGAAAAUUGCAUUUUCUUUGUGUGUGAUAUCGCAACAACAUAUUAAACAUAAUGUGUGAUUCCUUGUGAAUAAACGUGUAUGUUGUUAUCACGUUUCUUUAUUUUCUUUCAGAUAGCCGGAUGGAAUACUAUUGUUUCAGUAAAAAUAAAAAGACUCGAAACUUG